rnacentral:rRNA from 1 species
GACGAACGCUGGCGGCGUGCUUAACACAUGCAAGUCGAACGGAAAGGCCCUGCUUUUGUGGGGUGCUCGAGUGGCGAACGGGUGAGUAACACGUGAGUAACCUGCCCUUGACUUUGGGAUAACUUCAGGAAACUGGGGCUAAUACCGGAUAGGAGCUCCUGCUGCAUGGUGGGGGUUGGAAAGUUUCGGCGGUUGGGGAUGGACUCGCGGCUUAUCAGCUUGUUGGUGGGGUAGUGGCUUACCAAGGCUUUGACGGGUAGCCGGCCUGAGAGGGUGACCGGCCACAUUGGGCUUGGGAUACGGCCCAGACUCCUACGGGAGGCAGCAGUGGGGAAUAUUGCACAAUGGGCGGAAGCCUGAUGCAGCAACGCCGCGUGCGGGAUGACGGCCUUCGGGUUGUAACCCGCUUUCGCCUGUGACGAAGCGUGAGUGACGGUAAUGGGUAAAGAAGCACCGGCUAACUACGUG